rnacentral:rRNA from 1 species
AGAAUCAACGCUGGCGGCGUGCCUAACACAUGCAAGUCGAACGAGAAAGUGGGAGCAAUCCCACGAGUAAAGUGGCGCACGGGUGAGUAACACGUGACUAACCUACCCUUGAGUGGGGGAUAACCUAGGGAAACCUGGGCUAAUACCGCAUAAUACCUACGGGUCAAAGGAGCAAUUCGCUUAAGGAGGGGGUCGCGGCAGAUUAGUUAGUUGGCGGGGUAAUGGCCCACCAAGACAGUGAUCUGUAUCCGGCCUGAGAGGGCGCACGGACACACUGGAACUGAAACACGGUCCAGACUCCUACGGGAGGCAGCAGUGGGGAAUUUGCGCAAUGGGGGAAACCCUGACGCAGCAACGCCGCGUGGAGGAUGAAGCCCCUUGGGGCGUAAACUCCUUUCGAUCGGGAAGAUAAUGGACGGUACCGGAAGAAGAAGCCCGGCUAACUUCGCGCCAGCAGCCGC